CCUACGGCGGCUGCAGUGGGGAAUAUUGGACAAUGGGGGCAACCCUGAUCCAGCCAUGCCGCGUGUGUGAAGAAGGCCCUCGGGUUGUAAAGCACUUUCAGUGAGGAAGAACGCCUGGUGGUUAAUACCCAUCAGGAAAGACAUCACUCACAGAAGAAGCACCGGCUAACUCCGUGCCAGCAGCCGCGGUAAUACGGAGGGUGCGAGCGUUAAUCGGAAUUACUGGGCGUAAAGCGCGCGUAGGUGGCUUGAUAAGCCGGUUGUGAAAGCCCCGGGCUCAACCUGGGAACGGCAUCCGGAACUGUCGAGCUAGAGUGCAGGAGAGGAAGGUAGAAUUCCCGGUGUAGCGGUGAAAUGCGUAGAGAUCGGGAGGAAUACCAGUGGCGAAGGCGGCCUUCUGGACUGACACUGACACUGAGGUGCGAAAGCGUGGGUAGCAAACAGGAUUAGAUACCCUAGUAGUC
rnacentral:rRNA from 1 species